UUGCUCUGGACUCGAAGAGAAGGUCGCC
rnacentral:sRNA from 1 species